rnacentral:rRNA from 1 species
UUAAGCGACUAAGCGUACACGGUGGAUGCCCUGGCAGUCAGAGGCGAUGAAGGACGUGCUAAUCUGCGAUAAGCGUCGGUGAGGUGAUAUGAACCGUUAUAACCGGCGAUUUCCGAAUGGGGAAACCCAGUGUGUUUCGACACACUAUCAUUAACUGAAUCCAUAGGUUAAUGAGGCGAACCGGGGAACUGAAACAUCUAAGUACCCCGAGGAAAAGAAAUCAACCGAGAUUCCCCAGUAGCGGCGAGCGAACGGGGAGGAGCCCAGAGCCUGAAUCAGUGUGUGUGUUAGUGGAAGCGUCUGGAAAGGCGCGCGAUACAGGGUGACAGCCCCGUACACAAAAAUGCACAUAUUGUGAGCUCGAUGAGUAGGGCGGGACACGUGGUAUCCUGUCUGAAUAUGGGGGGACCAUCCUCCAAGGCUAAAUACUCCUGACUGACCGAUAGUGAACCAGUACCGUGAGGGAAAGGCGAAAAGAACCCCGGCGAGGGAGUGAAAAAGAACCUGAAACCGUGUACGUACAAGCAGUGGGAGCCUCUUAAUGGGGUGACUGCGUACCUUUUGUAUAAUGGGUCAGCGACUUAUAUUCUGUAGCAAGGUUAACCGAAUAGGGGAGCCGAAGGGAAACCGAGUCUUAACUGGGCGUUAAGUUGCAGGGUAUAGACCCGAAACCCGGUGAUCUAGCCAUGGGCAGGUUGAAGGUUGGGUAACACUAACUGGAGGACCGAACCGACUAAUGUUGAAAAAUUAGCGGAUGACUUGUGGCUGGGGGUGAAAGGCCAAUCAAACCGGGAGAUAGCUGGUUCUCCCCGAAAGCUAUUUAGGUAGCGCCUCGUGAAUUCAUCUCCGGGGGUAGAGCACUGUUUCGGCAAGGGGGUCAUCCCGACUUACCAACCCGAUGCAAACUGCGAAUACCGGAGAAUGUUAUCACGGGAGACACACGGCGGGUGCUAACGUCCGUCGUGAAGAGGGAAACAACCCAGACCGCCAGCUAAGGUCCCAAAGUCAUGGUUAAGUGGGAAACGAUGUGGGAAGGCCCAGACAGCCAGGAUGUUGGCUUAGAAGCAGCCAUCAUUUAAAGAAAGCGUAAUAGCUCACUGGUCGAGUCGGCCUGCGCGGAAGAUGUAACGGGGCUAAACCAUGCACCGAAGCUGCGGCAGCGACACUAUGUGUUGUUGGGUAGGGGAGCGUUCUGUAAGCCUGUGAAGGUGGCCUGUGAGGGUUGCUGGAGGUAUCAGAAGUGCGAAUGCUGACAUAAGUAACGAUAAAGCGGGUGAAAAGCCCGCUCGCCGGAAGACCAAGGGUUCCUGUCCAACGUUAAUCGGGGCAGGGUGAGUCGACCCCUAAGGCGAGGCCGAAAGGCGUAGUCGAUGGGAAACAGGUUAAUAUUCCUGUACUUGGUGUUACUGCGAAGGGGGGACGGAGAAGGCUAUGUUGGCCGGGCGACGGUUGUCCCGGUUUAAGCGUGUAGGCUGGUUUUCCAGGCAAAUCCGGAAAACCAAGGCUGAGGCGUGAUGACGAGGCACUACGGUGCUGAAGCGACAAAUGCCCUGCUUCCAGGAAAAGCCUCUAAGCAUCAGGUAACAUCAAAUCGUACCCCAAACCGACACAGGUGGUCAGGUAGAGAAUACCAAGGCGCUUGAGAGAACUCGGGUGAAGGAACUAGGCAAAAUGGUGCCGUAACUUCGGGAGAAGGCACGCUGAUAUGUAGGUGAAGCGACUUGCUCGUGGAGCUGAAAUCAGUCGAAGAUACCAGCUGGCUGCAACUGUUUAUUAAAAACACAGCACUGUGCAAACACGAAAGUGGACGUAUACGGUGUGACGCCUGCCCGGUGCCGGAAGGUUAAUUGAUGGGGUUAGCGGUAACGCGAAGCUCUUGAUCGAAGCCCCGGUAAACGGCGGCCGUAACUAUAACGGUCCUAAGGUAGCGAAAUUCCUUGUCGGGUAAGUUCCGACCUGCACGAAUGGCGUAAUGAUGGCCAGGCUGUCUCCACCCGAGACUCAGUGAAAUUGAACUCGCUGUGAAGAUGCAGUGUACCCGCGGCAAGACGGAAAGACCCCGUGAACCUUUACUAUAGCUUGACACUGAACAUUGAGCCUUGAUGUGUAGGAUAGGUGGGAGGCUUUGAAGUGUGGACGCCAGUCUGCAUGGAGCCGACCUUGAAAUACCACCCUUUAAUGUUUGAUGUUCUAACGUGGGCCCCUAAUCGGGGUUGCGGACAGUGUCUGGUGGGUAGUUUGACUGGGGCGGUCUCCUCCUAAAGAGUAACGGAGGAGCACGAAGGUUGGCUAAUCCUGGUCGGACAUCAGGAGGUUAGUGCAAUGGCAUAAGCCAGCUUGACUGCGAGCGUGACGGCGCGAGCAGGUGCGAAAGCAGGUCAUAGUGAUCCGGUGGUUCUGAAUGGAAGGGCCAUCGCUCAACGGAUAAAAGGUACUCCGGGGAUAACAGGCUGAUACCGCCCAAGAGUUCAUAUCGACGGCGGUGUUUGGCACCUCGAUGUCGGCUCAUCACAUCCUGGGGCUGAAGUAGGUCCCAAGGGUAUGGCUGUUCGCCAUUUAAAGUGGUACGCGAGCUGGGUUUAGAACGUCGUGAGACAGUUCGGUCCCUAUCUGCCGUGGGCGCUGGAGAACUGAGGGGGGCUGCUCCUAGUACGAGAGGACCGGAGUGGACGCAUCACUGGUGUUCGGGUUGUCAUGCCAAUGGCACUGCCCGGUAGCUAAAUGCGGAAGAGAUAAGUGCUGAAAGCAUCUAAGCACGAAACUUGCCCCGAGAUGAGUUCUCCCUGAGACUUAGAGUCUCCUGAAGGAACGUUGAAGACGACGACGUUGAUAGGCCGGGUGUGUAAGCGCAGCGAUGCGUUGAGCUAACCGGUACUAAUGAACCGUGAGGCUUAACCU